GACGAACGCUGGCGGCGGGCUUAACACAUGCAAGUCGAACGGAAAGGCGCUGCUUGUGUGGGGUUCUCGAGUGGCGAACGGGUGAGUAACACGUGAGUAUCCUGCCCUUGACUGUGGGAUAACUUCAGGCAAGUGGGGCUAAUACCGGAGAGGAGCGCCUGCUGCAUGGGGGGGGUUGGAAAGCUUCGGCGGAUGGGGAUGGACUCGCGGCUUAUCAGCUUGUUGGGUGGGUAGUGGCUUACCAAGGCUUUGACUGGUAGCCGGCGUGGGAGGGUGGCCGGGCACCUUGGUACUGCGAUACGGCGCAGACGCCAACGUGAGGCAGUAGGCGAGAACAUUGCCCAAUGGGCGCAAGCGUGAUACGGCAGCGCUGCGAGCGGGAUGCAGGCCUUCGGGUUGUAAACCGCUUUCGCCUGUGACGAAGCGUGAGUGACGGUACCGGCUAAAGAAGCACCGGCUAACUACGUG
rnacentral:rRNA from 1 species